UUUUUUGGGCGUAUGACAUUUGCGCCGAUUUUGAAAAUUUUCAUUCUUUCAUUUGCGCCGAUUUCAUUUUUUCAUUUGCGCCGAUUUUAUAUUUUUUCCUAAUUGGAUUUACAGGUAAGUUACAGGUAAGUUUAUACUUUUAUAUUGGCUGAGCACAGAGUAUAAAGACAAAUCAAGUGAUAUUGCAAUUGGUAAAUGGCUAUCCCAAUGUUUCAGGUUACCAUUCCUUUCCCUAAAUGAAAUCGAUGACUGCUUCACGUUUGACAUUGUCUGACGCUCCGCUCCUUCUGAUGACAAAUGUCAUACAUUCUUAGACAACGUGCAAGUACACAUUUCAUAACGGUCAACUAAUACGCCAAAUAUAGAAGAUGCGAAAUCAUAAGAAAGGAAUAUAUUAGAUGUGUUGCCAAAACAUACUCGGC
rnacentral:lncRNA from 1 species